AUGCAUUCUCGUUAGGCGAGGCUCCAGUUCAAACAUAGGCCACUGCCCGGAAACGUCGAGAGACGCCAAUGGGUAGAACAGGUAUUGCCGGAUUAAGGCUCUACUUAAGGUGGCUGAGUCAUGUGACUCUACGUUGUUCUGUGCCGAAGCUCAACCAGGAGAAUACUG
rnacentral:sRNA from 2 species